UAAAUGAAUUACGCUGAGAAACACGAACCAACUUCCCCAAACAGUUCGUAAACUGUAUGUGAACAGUUCAGCCCUAAAACUCCCAAUUCCAAUCCCGAAAUCAUCCCUCAAAACCCACCGGAAUCACCAAAUCCAAUUCUCACCAAUCAGCUCCGGUUGUACGGAAAACAAACCAGGAGAAGACCCAUGAUUACGAUGAACAUGGCCGGAGCCAUCUGCAUCUCUCACCGGCUACAGCUUACCCAUCAUCCACAACUAAAGUUUCGUAACGGUAUUCGGUGUUCGAAUACGAAUGACGAUGCGCCACAAGUGUUAAAGAUUGUUGUUAGUGGAGCUACAGAGAUCCUUAGGCUCUUUUCAUCUUUCAACAAAAAUCCGUUAUAUGAAGUGGUUCCUGAACAGAAGAAUGAAACAUCUGUGACUUCUGUAGAUGAUAUAAUUACGAUAUUGAAGUCAGAUUAUGAUGAUGCUUAUUUCGUUACAGGAAAAUUUACUUCUGCGAUAUAUACAAUAGAUUGUAUCUUUGAAGACCCGACCAUUAGAUUUCGUGGUAGGGAGUUAUACUCACGCAACUUAAAGUUGCUUGUACCUUUUUUUGAGCAUCCAUCGAUCUCGUUACAUUACAUCGGUAAGGUUCUAAAAGGUGAAACAGAGUCUGUAACGGCAUCAUGGACUCUAAGGACAUAUCUUAAAAUACCUUGGAGGCCUCUCAUUGCCAUUGAUGGGACUACAGUCUAUGAUCUAGACGAUCAGUUUAAAAUUGUUAAGCAUGUUGAGAAUUGGAGUGUUUUCCCUCUUGAAGCAAUCGGUCAGAUAUUCACUCCUAGCUCUGGCAGGCCUGUUUAAUUUGGUAUAAACAAUUACUGUAAUCAUGCUCUACAGACUUGUCAUUUCUCGAAAAAGAUGUAAAUAAACAUUGGGCAUUAAGUGGUACGGCCUCACCAGUGAAUCAGGAUAAUGGCAAGAAGCUACGGAUUGAAGUCAUGUAUAAUAAUUUAUGUCAGAUAUAUUCACAAUGAUGGAAAUCAGCAUCUCUCUUCUCUUGCAUAUUCAUUGGCUGAUUUCAUUAUUGGCUGGAUGCUUGGAUAGGCUAUUAUACAGUAUAUAGUUCUAUUAAUUUGUUCUCAUUAAACCAAAAGAGGGAAUCGAUCUUUAAUGUUUGACAUUGUAUGAAUCUAUGUCAAUGAAUACCUGUAUUCCAAAA